UGUCUCAUAGCUCAGUAGGCCAGAGCGUUCCCCUGAUAAGGGAAAGGUCACUAGUUCGAAUCUAGUUGAGACAACCA
rnacentral:tRNA from 1 species